CCGUCCAUUCUGCUUUGCUGACCUAGCUUUAUGAAGACUGAAUAUUACUCCGCAAAGCUAGGUAACCAAAGAAGAAGAGAUGAG